ACCAGGCCUUGACAUGCAGAGAACUUUCCAGAGAUGGAUUGGUGCCUUCGGGAACUCUGACACAGGUGCUGCAUGGCUGUCGUCAGCUCGUGUCGUGAGAUGUUGGGUUAAGUCCCGUAACGAGCGCAACCCUUGUCCUUAGUUACCAGCACGUUAUGGUGGGCACUCUAAGGAGACUGCCGGUGACAACCGGAGGAAGGUGGGGAUGACGUCAAGCCAUCAUGGCCCUUACGGCCUGGGCUACACACGUGCUACAAUGGUCGGUACAAAGGGUUGCCAAGCCGCGAGGUGGAGCUAAUCCCAUAAAACCGAUCGUAGUCCGGAUCGCAGUCUGCAACUCGACUGCGUGAAGUCGGAAUCGCUAGUAAUCGUGAAUCAGAAUGUCACGGUGAAUACGUUCCCGGGCCUU
rnacentral:rRNA from 1 species